GAACGGUAGCACAGAGAGCUUGCUCUCGGGUGACGAGUGGCGGACGGGUGAGUAAUGUCUGGGAAACUGCCUGAUGGAGGGGGAUAACUACUGGAAACGGUAGCUAAUACCGCAUAACGUCGCAAGACCAAAGUGGGGGACCUUCGGGCCUCAUGCCAUCAGAUGUGCCCAGAUGGGAUUAGCUAGUAGGUGGGGUAACGGCUCACCUAGGCGACGAUCCCUAGCUGGUCUGAGAGGAUGACCAGCCACACUGGAACUGAGACACGGUCCAGACUCCUACGGGAGGCAGCAGUGGGGAAUAUUGCACAAUGGGCGCAAGCCUGAUGCAGCCAUGCCGCGUGUAUGAAGAAGGCCUUCGGGUUGUAAAGUACUUUCAGCGAGGAGGAAGGCGUUGAGGUUAAUAACCUUAUCGAUUGACGUUACUCGCAGAAGAAGCACCGGCUAACUCCGUGCCAGCAGCCGCGGUAAUACGGAGGGUGCAAGCGUUAAUCGGAAUUACUGGGCGUAAAGCGCACGCAGGCGGUCUGUUAAGUCAGAUGUGAAAUCCCCGGGCUCAACCUGGGAACUGCAUUUGAAACUGGCAGGCUUGAGUCUUGUAGAGGGGGGUAGAAUUCCAGGUGUAGCGGUGAAAUGCGUAGAGAUCUGGAGGAAUACCGGUGGCGAAGGCGGCCCCCUGGACAAAGACUGACGCUCAGGUGCGAAAGCGUGGGGAGCAAAC
rnacentral:rRNA from 3 species